GCCCCUUUGAGUCAUUGGCUUUAUCUCCUUCUGCUUUUCCUAGAUGUGUUACGCUCCUUCUCCCCAAAUAAACCAUUUCAAUUGCCAAUCUAGCUCAAAUUGCGUUUGAUGGAGAGUUGGUGAAUAUUGAGAGGUAAAGUGCUCGAAAGUCUGAUUGAGAACACGACGUCGAACUGAGAAGUUGGUGUUUUACACACAAAUGAAGAGUGAAUGAAAUGGUAAUGAGAGUGAAAAUUUGGAUAUGACAUAGUUGUAAGUAACGAAUCCCAAGUUGAUAUUAGUUGAAUGAAGGGAUGUUUAUUUACAGGCGCGAUAGAUUCCUAUCAACUUCUAGACGAGAUUGGUGCCUUAGGAGAUUCCCAUAACCUUACUGGCAGUCAUCUGGACCAACCGCAAGUGUACCCUACUCCUGUAUUGCCAUCUUGUUGCUUUUUUUGGUACACCAGUUAAAGUGUCCAUGAAGAUAUAGAACUCAAAUCGGAGGGGAUGUCAUUUAUGAUGGAUAGACUAGCUAUGUUAGAUGCAGAAAUGCUUGCUACCCACAUGGAGUUGGUUGGUUUAACCCCUGCAGAAUACCAUCACAAUGUCAUCAGGCAUCUAUAUAGUUUUCCUUCGAUUUCUGUUGGUGACUCUCACGACGUAAUAUUAUUUCUGGUUUAAUAAGCCCUGCAGAAUACCAUUUCAAUGUCGUCGGACUUGAAUCUGAUUGAUGUGCUCAAUUGCAUUCUCAUGUAGGACAAAUAAUUGUCACCUUGUUGCAGAUGUUGUCAUCGAUGAUCUAAAAUGUUUUGAAUGUCAAUGACGAAUUAAAGUAGUGUUUACUGGUGUUGAGCUCAUUGUGAGGAUCUAUAGUCUAAGUGGAUGGUGUCAUAUAGAAGCAGUCAUCCAUGACAUGCUCAUUUUCAUCAAAUUAAUAGUUUCUUUCAAAGUUCCAUAUGUCCAGUUCAGUCAAAUUAGGAAGGUAAUAAUUUGGGUGACUCCUAAAUGAGAGAAUUUGUAUGUGCCUCAAUUAUGCUUGUGGGGGAAAAGUUCGUAGAUAACCGGUUAUGUCAUUAAGCUAUAGCUGUUUGGUCAUGGGUACAAUUGCUCAGAACUUGGUUGAUGCUGCUGCAAUAAAGUUUCUUUGCGAUUUCUACAAAUUUACUAAUCAUUGUCCACUUCAUGGAUUAAGUUUUGCUCUGAGGAGCUUAUUUUUACACGUGAAAGUUAUCUCACCAAUCUAGCUGUCGUUAUGGAACCAUGGAUAUGCAGUGUGCUGCUUUUUAUAUGCCAGUGCUUGCAGCAGUUAUACAUACUGUGGUACAUUUAUUUUUAACACGGUAUAAAUAUUAAGCAGAAUGGAAAACUGUUAAGAAGCUUGAAGUCCCAUGCAGCAGCUGUGGUGUGUCUCAAUUGGGAGGAGGAUGCCCAAGUGAAUAGUGACACUUCUGGCAACUCUUUGGCAUUUGAAGAUCACACUACUCGUUACUUCCCUCCAGCUCCAAGAGUUCCUCGCAUGCCUGGACUAGUACCCAGAGAAACUGAUUUAACUGACGAUGGUCAAGAUUCAUUUGUAGAGCUCUCAAAUUCUUCAAAGCAACGUUUCAAUAUCCUUUGCAGUUGAGAUAGAUGGGGUUUUGUGCUUCAAUAUAUUUGGUGUCUUUCCAAUCGGAAAUGUUGUAAGCCUCCUGUACGUUCAGAUCAAAUAUAUAGCAGUAUAGUCUAUCGGAUUCAGUCAAUGAGUACUUCUUUCCUUUCUUGCUUCCA